AAGUCGUAACAAGGCAAAGGCACUGUACAACUACAACAAAGCCCAACAGACAGCGAGGGACAAGGCGGCAGAGGCCGACAAUUACCGCUUCCUGAUUAUAUGUGUGAUAUGUUUCGCCGUCAUUGCUAUAGUAGUACCGUAUAGGAUGUACAAUGCAAGAAUGCGAAGACAGCGUAUG
rnacentral:misc_RNA from 1 species